GAUGGUCUCCUUCUGUUUGAGGACUAGCUGGAUCAGCUCAUCGUGGGUCAGCUGUGUUAAAACACACGCCACCACACCCGGCUUAGAAAGCCACUUUCCACAAAGGAUGAAACCAGGCGGCUGACGAGAAGAGAGAAGGACUUUGGAGUCUGUAGAGUAGGGCUUAAACUCAGGGUUUUGGCCAUGGCAAGCAAGAGCUCUCUACCACUGAGCUACAGCCCCUCGAGACGCUCCAGGUGUGACUUCCAAAACUGGAUUCAAACCUGGCAGGAUGGUGCACACCUGUAAUCCCAGCGCUAAGGAGAGGAAGGCAAGGAGAUCUUGAGUUGGAGCCUGUAUCAUGAAGCAAGCUCUAGGCAAGCCUGGGCUACAGUGAGACAGUAUCUCAAAAAACAAAC